rnacentral:lncRNA from 1 species
GGCAGAUGAGUCUUGGGUCUGUAGUGUAGAGACACUAGGGUGAAGAUACAGGUGAUUUUUAGAGAAUAACGUACACUGAGCAUGACCAACACGAGAACCACAUAGAUGUCUACUAUCUCGUCAGUGGUCUUCUCGAUGCUGCAGUGGUAUUAGUGGUCCUUUGACCUACGGUGAUAUUGGCUAUUUGCAGUGAGGCUAUUGAGUUUGACUGCAUAUUUUCUUGAUCCCUAGCC